AUGGCCAUCUUUGAUGAGUUCUAUGUUGGGUCCAUUGAUCUCGGGCGCCUUAACUACAUGACGAUCUCGCUUAUCCCCAAGGUCCCUGGGGCGUCUGACAUCCGUCAGUUUCGCCCGAUCACGGUGAUAAAUGUGAUCUUCCGUAUUCUGGCGAAAGGGUACGCCAAUAGGGUAACCCUGCUCGCGGACCACAUUACCCACCCCAACCAAUCGGCCUUCAUCCAAGGAUGAUAUAUUCUGGAUGGGGUGCUAGUCCUCCACGAGGUUCUCCAUGAGGUCCGCUCCAAACACCUCAAGGCGGUCUUCCUGAAGAUCGAUUUCCAUAAGGCCUAUGACAUUGUUAGCUGGCCCUUCCUUCGGGAAGUUCUUCUACGGAAAGGCUUCGAUGACCAUUGGAUCUCCAGGGUGAUGCAGAUGGUCUCCUGUGGUCGCACUGCCAUGAACAUCAAUGGGGAAAUUGGCCCCUACUUCCCCACUCUUUGUGGGGUGAGGCAAGGUGAUCCCUUUUCCCCGUUCCUGUUCAACAUGGUGGUGGACGCACUGGCGGCCAUCCUGGACAAGGCCGGCAGGCCAUAUCCGUGGGCUCACUCCCCACUUGGCCGGUGGCGCUGGCAUCUCCCUGCUCUAGUACGCUGA
rnacentral:rRNA from 1 species